UGGGGAAUAUUGCACAAUGGGCGCAAGCCUGAUGCAGCCAUGCCGCGUGUAUGAAGAAGGCCUUCGGGUUGUAAAGUACUUUCAGUCGGGAGGAAGGUGGUAAGGUUAAUAACCUUGGCGAUUGACGUUACCCGCAGAAGAAGCACCGGCUAACUCCGUGCCAGCAGCCGCGGUAAUACGGAGGGUGCAAGCGUUAAUCGGAAUUACUGGGCGUAAAGCGCACGCAGGCGGUUGAUUGAGUCAGAUGUGAAAUCCCCGGGCUUAACCCGGGAAUUGCAUCUGAUACUGGUCAGCUAGAGUCUUGUAGAGGGGGGUAGAAUUCCAUGUGUAGCGGUGAAAUGCGUAGAGAUGUGGAGGAAUACCGGUGGCGAAGGCGGCCCCCUGGACAAAGACUGACGCUCAGGUGCGAAAGCGUGGGGAGCAAACAGG
rnacentral:rRNA from 1 species